GACGAACGCUGGCGGCGUGCUUAACACAUGCAAGUCGAACGGAAAGGCCCUGCUUUUGUUGCGUGCUCGAUUGGCGAACGGGUGUGUAACACGUGAGUAACCUCCCCUUGACUUUCUGAUAACUUCAGGAAACUGGGGCUCAUACCGCAUAUGAUCUCCUGCUGCAUGUGGGUCGUUGGUAAGUUUCGGCGGUUGUGGAUGGACUCGCGGGUUAUCAGCUUGUUUGUGGAGUAGUGGCUUACCAAGGCUUUGACGGGUAGCCGGCCUGAGAGGGUGACCGGGCACAUUGGGACUGAGGGAGGGACCAGACUCCUACGGGAGGCAGUAGUGGGGAAUAUUGCAGAAUGGGGGGAAGCCAGAUGCAGAAACGUCGGGUGCGGGAUGACGGCUUUCGGGUUGUAAACCGAUGUGGAAGGUGAUGAAGAGGGAGUGACGGUAAUGGGUAAAGAAGCAACGGCUAACUACGUG
rnacentral:rRNA from 1 species